UAUAAAAUAUUAAAAAAAAAGGUCAAACUCUAUAAAUGAUGUAUUUAAAUUUAUUUUUAUUCUCUUUUUUUUUUUUUUUUUUUUUAAUUUUUAUAUUCUUCAGUAAAAACUAAUAAUUUUUGCUAGGAUUGCAUUCAAGUCAAUCUAAAAAAAAGCAAUUUGUGUAGCAAUUCACAUAUUUUUUUACAAUUGACGGUAUCAUGAAUUUUACUGUAACUUACUAACUGAUAAAUUUUCUUUAUUUCGUGGAUAUAUACUAGUCUACAGAACAUGAACAUAUAUGGAAGACAGUAGAUGAACGAACAUUCUACACUUACAAACGGACAGUUAGUUAUCGCCUUGGAAAUUCAACUUGCUAAUAAAAUUAUAUUAAAUGAUAUGCAUAUUUAAUUCCAUUUUCCGAAAUCAUAUUUUCUUCAAAAAAUAGCAUUCAAACGCCUCAAACUCAUUAUCACUCCAUUCUUAAUUGCCAACCUAUAUUACCAAAUGCCGAUGGUGCACAUUGCCAGAUAAUCGGUUAUUAGAUCCGGGUCUAGAGAACGAAACCAUUGCAGUUGUUAAAAUAGCAUAUCUUCACAAGCCAUUGUAAAAUAAAAAUAUCAAGAUAUCAGAUAUUCAUUAACGGUGUAUCAAGAAAUUUGAGCGCAGUUAACUUACAGAACCUCAAGUAGAUAGGUAUCGGUCGCAUACCUUAUCUUUCGUCCUAGUUCACUUGCGAAUGUUCAUACUACAUGACGCCAGUCUAAUUACUACUUAUUCAUCCCCGUUUGUAAAUAACGACUCGGUAAAUGCUACCUCGGUUAAUUGGACUUUGUAAAUGUUAACAGACUUAGCGCGACAAACCUUUGAGCGGCAGCAUGGUAUAGCAGAGGAUGAAGUGAAAAUUGGGUUGUUUUAAUCAGAAUUCAAAAAGUAUGGUUUUCUAUGUAGGAUCCUGAAGAAAACUGCUUGGACUCCUUAGUGGCAGAGCAGAUGACAAUGAAAAAGAAAGUCUUUUUUUUUUUUUAAUUUUCUUUUCGAAUCCUUUCUUUCUCAUUUAUUUAUUUAUUUUUUUGAUAUGUCUUGUGCCCCACUAAUUGAACGGCCACAGCAGUGUGACGAGGUAAAUUAGAUCGAAAUAGUAUACAUUUUAAGG